CAUUGUCAACGUCCCUUUGAACACAUCGAUCUUGGUGCGUGCUGUUUUCAUGAAUGGCCUCCCAAGUAGAAUUGGCAAUGGGGUGACAUUUGGUGAGUCCUCCAUCUCUAAAACGUAGAAAUCCGCUGGAAAUAUCAAGUUAUCCACCUGCACCAAUACAUCCUCCAAAACUCCUUUCGGAUAUGCAUUAGAACGAUCGGCUAAUUGAAUUAUAACACCAUCGUUUUUAAGUUCUCCUAAGUUCAUUGAUGCAUAAAUUGAGUAUGGCAUGACGUUAAUUGAGGCUCCUAGAUCUAACAUAGCAUGUUCAAAUUUAGUAUUGCCUAUAACACAUGGAAUUGUAAAACUUCCCGGAUCUUUGCAUUUAGGAGGUAAUUUUCUUUGCAAAACAGCGGAAACAUUCUCACUUACCUGGACAACCUCUUUGUUUGAAAUUCUCUUUCUUGUCGUACAUAGUU
rnacentral:lncRNA from 1 species